rnacentral:lncRNA from 1 species
UGAUUCGGACGUACCAAACCAUGCUACCUAGAGUACUAUGACUCUUUAACUCAAAACAAGGCUCAAACUGCUCGAAUCAAGCCUAAACUAAGUUGAAGCAUCUUGUUCGGCUCACUCCACGGCAGUUCUAGCUUCUCUCCCCCUUUAAUAAGGUCUUUCAUGCUAAGAAGAGAGAAGUUCCAAACUCUUUUUAUACUAUUCUUUUCACUUCAAAAAAAAAAAUUGAAGAAAGGGG